CCUACGGGGUGCUGCAGUAGGGAAUCUUUCACAAUGGGCGAAAGCCUGAUGGAGCAACGCCGCGUGCAGGAUGAAGGCCUUCGGGUUGUAAACUGCUUUUAUAAGCGAGAAAUAUGAUGGUAACUUAUGAAUAAGAAUCGGCUAACUACGUGCCAGCAGCCGCGGUCAUACUUAGGAUCCGAGCAUUAUCAGGAGUGACUGGGGUUAAAGAGUUGCGUAGGUGGCAUAAUAAGUAGCUAGUGAAAUCUGGUGGCUCAACCAUUCAGACUAUUAGCUAAACUGUUAAGCUCGAGACCGUUAGGGGUAAAUGGAAUUUCUAGUGUAGGAGUGAAAUCCGUAGAUAUUAGAAGGAACACCAAUAGCGUAGGCAGGUUGCUGGGACGGUUCUGACACUAAGGCACGAAAGCGUAGGGAGCAAACGGGAUUAGAUACCCUGGUAGUC
rnacentral:rRNA from 1 species